UUAAGCGACUAAGCGUACACGGUGGAUGCCCUGGCAGUCAGAGGCGAUGAAGGACGUGCUAAUCUGCGAUAAGCGUCGGUAAGGUGAUAUGAACCGUUAUAACCGGCGAUUUCCGAAUGGGGAAACCCAGUGUGAUUCGUCACACUAUCAUUAACUGAAUCCAUAGGUUAAUGAGGCGAACCGGGGGAACUGAAACAUCUAAGUACCCCGAGGAAAAGAAAUCAACCGAGAUUCCCCCAGUAGCGGCGAGCGAACGGGGAGCAGCCCAGAGCCUGAAUCAGUGUGUGUGUUAGUGGAAGCGUCUGGAAAGGCGCGCGAUACAGGGUGACAGCCCCGUACACAAAAAUGCACAUACUGUGAGCUCGAUGAGUAGGGCGGGACACGUGGUAUCCUGUCUGAAUAUGGGGGGACCAUCCUCCAAGGCUAAAUACUCCUGACUGACCGAUAGUGAACCAGUACCGUGAGGGAAAGGCGAAAAGAACCCCGGCGAGGGGAGUGAAAAAGAACCUGAAACCGUGUACGUACAAGCAGUGGGAGCACAGAGCAAUCUGUGUGACUGCGUACCUUUUGUAUAAUGGGUCAGCGACUUAUAUUCUGUAGCAAGGUUAACCGAAUAGGGGAGCCGAAGGGAAACCGAGUCUUAACUGGGCGUUAAGUUGCAGGGUAUAGACCCGAAACCCGGUGAUCUAGCCAUGGGCAGGUUGAAGGUUGGGUAACACUAACUGGAGGACCGAACCGACUAAUGUUGAAAAAUUAGCGGAUGACUUGUGGCUGGGGGUGAAAGGCCAAUCAAACCGGGAGAUAGCUGGUUCUCCCCGAAAGCUAUUUAGGUAGCGCCUCGUGAAUUCAUCUCCGGGGGUAGAGCACUGUUUCGGCAAGGGGGUCAUCCCGACUUACCAACCCGAUGCAAACUGCGAAUACCGGAGAAUGUUAUCACGGGAGACACACGGCGGGUGCUAACGUCCGUCGUGAAGAGGGAAACAACCCAGACCGCCAGCUAAGGUCCCAAAGUCAUGGUUAAGUGGGAAACGAUGUGGGAAGGCCCAGACAGCCAGGAUGUUGGCUUAGAAGCAGCCAUCAUUUAAAGAAAGCGUAAUAGCUCACUGGUCGAGUCGGCCUGCGCGGAAGAUGUAACGGGGCUAAACCAUGCACCGAAGCUGCGGCAGCGACGCUUAUGCGUUGUUGGGUAGGGGAGCGUUCUGUAAGCCAGUGAAGGUGUACUGUGAGGUAUGCUGGAGGUAUCAGAAGUGCGAAUGCUGACAUAAGUAACGAUAAAGCGGGUGAAAAGCCCGCUCGCCGGAAGACCAAGGGUUCCUGUCCAACGUUAAUCGGGGCAGGGUGAGUCGACCCCUAAGGCGAGGCCGAAAGGCGUAGUCGAUGGGAAACAGGUUAAUAUUCCUGUACUUGGUGUUACUGCGAAGGGGGGACGGAGAAGGCUAUGUUGGCCGGGCGACGGUUGUCCCGGUUUAAGCGUGUAGGCUGGUUUUCCAGGCAAAUCCGGAAAAUCAAGGCUGAGGCGUGAUGACGAGGCACUACGGUGCUGAAGCAACAAAUGCCCUGCUUCCAGGAAAAGCCUCUAAGCAUCAGGUAACAUCAAAUCGUACCCCAAACCGACACAGGUGGUCAGGUAGAGAAUACCAAGGCGCUUGAGAGAACUCGGGUGAAGGAACUAGGCAAAAUGGUGCCGUAACUUCGGGAGAAGGCACGCUGAUAUGUAGGUGAAGUCCCUCGCGGAUGGAGCUGAAAUCAGUCGAAGAUACCAGCUGGCUGCAACUGUUUAUUAAAAACACAGCACUGUGCAAACACGAAAGUGGACGUAUACGGUGUGACGCCUGCCCGGUGCCGGAAGGUUAAUUGAUGGGGUUAGCGCAAGCGAAGCUCUUGAUCGAAGCCCCGGUAAACGGCGGCCGUAACUAUAACGGUCCUAAGGUAGCGAAAUUCCUUGUCGGGUAAGUUCCGACCUGCACGAAUGGCGUAAUGAUGGCCAGGCUGUCUCCACCCGAGACUCAGUGAAAUUGAACUCGCUGUGAAGAUGCAGUGUACCCGCGGCAAGACGGAAAGACCCCGUGAACCUUUACUAUAGCUUGACACUGAACAUUGAGCCUUGAUGUGUAGGAUAGGUGGGAGGCUUUGAAGUGUGGACGCCAGUCUGCAUGGAGCCGACCUUGAAAUACCACCCUUUAAUGUUUGAUGUUCUAACGUUGACCCGUAAUCCGGGUUGCGGACAGUGUCUGGUGGGUAGUUUGACUGGGGCGGUCUCCUCCUAAAGAGUAACGGAGGAGCACGAAGGUUGGCUAAUCCUGGUCGGACAUCAGGAGGUUAGUGCAAUGGCAUAAGCCAGCUUGACUGCGAGCGUGACGGCGCGAGCAGGUGCGAAAGCAGGUCAUAGUGAUCCGGUGGUUCUGAAUGGAAGGGCCAUCGCUCAACGGAUAAAAGGUACUCCGGGGAUAACAGGCUGAUACCGCCCAAGAGUUCAUAUCGACGGCGGUGUUUGGCACCUCGAUGUCGGCUCAUCACAUCCUGGGGCUGAAGUAGGUCCCAAGGGUAUGGCUGUUCGCCAUUUAAAGUGGUACGCGAGCUGGGUUUAGAACGUCGUGAGACAGUUCGGUCCCUAUCUGCCGUGGGCGCUGGAGAACUGAGGGGGGCUGCUCCUAGUACGAGAGGACCGGAGUGGACGCAUCACUGGUGUUCGGGUUGUCAUGCCAAUGGCACUGCCCGGUAGCUAAAUGCGGAAGAGAUAAGUGCUGAAAGCAUCUAAGCACGAAACUUGCCCCGAGAUGAGUUCUCCCUGACUCCUUGAGAGUCCUGAAGGAACGUUGAAGACGACGACGUUGAUAGGCCGGAUGUGUAAGCGCAGCGAUGCGUUGAGCUAACCGGUACUAAUGAACCGUGAGGCUUAACCUU
rnacentral:rRNA from 1 species